rnacentral:rRNA from 1 species
AUUGAACGCUGGCGGCAGGCCUAACACAUGCAAGUCGAGCGGAGCGGCGUACGGGUGAGUAAUGCCUAGGAAUCUGCCUGGUAGUGGUGGAUAACGUCCGGAACCGGGCGCUAAUACCGCCUACUAUCCGAUUAGCCUAGGUCGGUUUAGCUCGUUGGUGGGGUAAAGGCCUACCAAGGCGACGAGCCGUAACUGGUCUGAGAGGAUGAUUAGUCACACUGGAACUGAGACACGGCGCAGACUCCUACGGGAGGCAGCAGUGGGGAAUAUUGGACAAGGGGCGAAAGCCUGAUACAGCCAUGCCGCGUGUGUGAAGAAGGUCUUCGGAUUGUAAAGCACUUUAAGUUGGGAGGCGUUACCAACAGAAUAAGCACCGGCUAACUUCGUGCCAGCAGCCGCGGUAAGUC